GCCAAUAUGAACCCUUGUCUUGUGCAACUUAUCACGUAGCUCAGGUGUAUCUUUUGGGGUUCCAAGUGUAUUCACUAGCCUCUGAAACGUAGACACAGCAGUAUUGAUCUGGAAGAUUCCAGAAGCCACUGCUUGGGUCGGGUCUUGCUUCCCAUUUGUCUGGAACCGACGAGACCCCAAAGGUCGACCCGAUUCCAAAUCCUGAA
rnacentral:misc_RNA from 1 species